AUGGGCUAUAGCUUGUCUUGUGUGUGCCGCCGACUUCGGAGUAACGGCAAGGAUUCAUUUUUGUUUUUUGGGUGCAAGUUGCAUUCCCAUUCCCUGAGUUGCAACUGCAUGCGGGCCAUGUCCACUAUAAUUGCAUAUCUGCCACUAGACUCGCAACUGCAAGGGUCGGCACCCGGCUGCAAUUCAUGUCCACCCCUGAGCUGCAUUUUCAUUUGGGUUAUAGCUUGUCUUGUGUGCCGCCGCCGGAGUGACGACAAGGAUGCUUUUUAUUUUUUAUUUUUUGGGCGUCAAUUGCAUGCCCAUUCCCUAAGUUGCAAUUGCAUGCGGGCCAUGUCGACUGCAAUCAGUGGCGGUGCCAGGAUAAAAUUAUGUGUGUAG
rnacentral:rRNA from 1 species